CGUAGGGCGCGAGCGUUGUCCGGAUUUAUUGGGCGUAAAGAGCUCGUAGGCGGCUUGUCGCGUCGACUGUGAAAACUUGGGGCUCAACUCCAAGCUUGCAGUCGAUACGGGCAGGCUAGAGUUCGGUAGGGGAGACUGGAAUUCCUGGUGUAGCGGUGAAAUGCGCAGAUAUCAGGAGGUACACCGGUGGCGAAGGCGGGUCUCUGGGCCGAUACUGACGCUGAGGAGCGAAAGCGUGGGGAGCGAACAGGAUUAGAUACCCUGGUAGUCCACGCUGUAAACGUUGGGCGCUAGGUGUGGGGGACCUCUCCGGUCUUCUGCGCCGCAGCUAACGCAUUAAGCGCCCCGCCUGGGGAGUACGGCCGCAAGGCUA
rnacentral:rRNA from 1 species